GACGAACGCUGGCGGCGUGCCUAAUACAUGCAAGUCGAGCGAAGUUUUUCUGGUGCUUGCACCGGAAAAACUUAGCGGCGAACGGGUGAGUAACACGUAAAGAACCUGCCUCAUAGACUGGGACAACUAUUGGAAACGAUAGCUAAUACCGGAUAACAGCAUUAACUGCAUGGUUGAUGUUUAAAAGUUGGUUUUGCUAACACUAUGAGAUGGCUUUGCGGUGCAUUAGCUAGUUGGUGGGGUAAAGGCCUACCAAGGCGACGAUGCAUAGCCGACCUGAGAGGGUGAUCGGCCACACUGGGACUGAGACACGGCCCAGACUCCUACGGGAGGCAGCAGUAGGGAAUCUUCCGCAAUGGGCGAAAGCCUGACGGAGCAACGCCGCGUGAGUGAAGAAGGAUUUCGGUUCGUAAAGCUCUGUUGUUGGGGAAGAAUGAUUGUGUAGUAACUAUACACAGUAGAGACGGUACCUAACCAGAAAGCCACGGCUAACUACGUG
rnacentral:rRNA from 1 species